ACGACCUUACUUGAACAGGAUCUGUUCUGUAGGCUCGUACUUCUGUGUCUUUGAGUUUCAAGGAGACAAGAACAGCAACUUGGUUGAUGAGAUGGCCACUUGGUUGCCUGACAAGUU